CCGGUGACUUUAAUGCGAAGCCCGACUCUUCUCCAGACACUGAAUUUGUUUUAAUUAGAAAAACAGCCCUAGGUUCAGAAAAAUUCAAAAAUGCGUCUGAGAUUGGUUUCAGGUAAAGCAAAUCCAGUCCAGAGAUUUUAGCACAUGUUUUAAAGUCUAUGUUAUGAAGAUAAACAACCGCGCCGCACGUCACACAGCUCUAAAGAAGCUAAUCAGCAUCUGAAGACAUCCACCUGCUGCCUUGAUGCUCUGCCAACAAGCUGCUUUUAAAGUGACUCUGGCUGUCUGGCAACAGACCUGCUGCAAUUAGUGAACCGUAUUUGCCGUCAUUAUGUAAUUUCCCUGAUGUUUUCAGACGCCCCGCAACAAGGAUGAACAUCUGUGAGGGGGUGAUGACAGACCCUGUGAUUUCUUCUUGUAAAUGAAAAGACGGUUUUUUCGCAGGUAAGGAGUGGGAUUGUCUGUCGGCUUUCAAAUGUUUCAGCCUGAGUUAAAGCUCCAGUGAGGAAUUUUUGGUUUGUGUUGACUUUGGCGCCCUCCUGUGGACAAAGCCUUUUCUCUUCAGUGAUUUUUGUCCUGACGCUUUGAAACCUAAAAAUAUCUCUGUAGACUUACAAAAAUAAUCGUUAAGCUACAUGAUGGUAGUAGUCGGCGACAGGAGCGCUGUUUAAGUCAUGGUUGACGAUCUGAGAAGCCAUUGAGGCAGAUUUGAAAAAAGCGUCUGCCUGGACAGCUACCGUGUUGACAUUGCAGAGACUAAUAAGAGUUAUUUAUGUAACAUGUGCCACGAUAAAAGGUGAUAAAGAUUACCUGUUCAACAAAAACUCUGCUGUCUCAGCGUCUGUUUUUAGGACCAAAUCCUGGCAGAGCUUUCUCUACCGCUCGAAGGAUGACCUGAUGUUUGUUCGAGUUACAUUCCUCGCUUGGUCACAUUUAGGGAUGCACCAAUCCGAUAUUUGAUAUGGGUAUUGGUACCGAUACUGAAGAGAAAUUCUAGAUUGGGUAUCGUGACAAUCGGCCCAAUGCAUAGGGGCCGAUCUAUUGAGUGGCAUCCACAAGUAAACAUGCUGAACGGAUGCCCGCACUGUUUUCAAAAUGGAGCGAGCAAAGGGGUCUGCUAUCUUGAACUUUAUCAUGAUACCUCAGCCUACAAGCUCGACCGCCGCUUGUAACACCUGCGCAGUAAACGUUCCAAGAGGCAGUGGUAAAACUUCAAGUGAACUUCACUGAAGUGCAUGUAAACACCUUAGUCUGACUGUAAUUGGAGUUUGAGAACUCUGAAUAAGACACCCAGAUAAUGCGAUUGAAAUUCAAUUUUCUCUACCAUGUAACUAGUGACGUCGGCAUAUGAUUGGACAAUGCGCGUGUGCCACGCCUCCGUAACCCCGGAACAAAAACACCAGAGAAGAAGUGGCACGAUCAUUUAAAGAACUUUCGACUCAGAAGCAACUGAAUGUCCACUUUAGGAACGACGAUGAGAGUGCCUUUAUGCUUUCCGUCCUGACAGAAAUGGGCAUUUUAAAGUAUUUGGACGUUUGCAAGACGAGGAAUGAAGACAUCUUUAUAAAAGGUCCAGAAACAGCGCCGCUGAAAAGACCCAUAUCGCCCCCUAGUUUUAAAGAGGAGAACACGUUCACGUCAAUAAUUAGACUUUCGCAGCAGCAUGUAUAUGUGGACAAGGAGAGAAGUCCGAUUCUGCGAAAAAAGAACGAAUUAUGAGCUUAGUCCGAUUAAGCUGUGCAUGUAAACGCACCGAUUGACUCGUCCUCUGCUGCAGCUGCUUCUUCAUGUUCCCUGUUUUAUGGCAGGUGGCAAAGAACCACUAGCAAAGUAUUAGCAUAUGCCAAACUUCAGCAAAAUAUCAGUAUAUCCUAUUUCUAUAAAAAGACGGUUGCCUCUAGAUCACGAUCUAUUGCCUCUGGAAUAACAUAUUGAGAUCACAUUAUUACACAGUAUAUCUGCUAUUCUCUGCGAAACCAUUAUGUAAAAAAAAAAAAAGUGUUCUCUUUGAAACAUGCAAAUACUUUUUACAAGUUCAAAUGAGGCUUUUGUAAUAGAAAUGAGUAAUUAUGGAUUUGUGCCGAGGUGUUGAGAAAUCUGCAUACUUCCCUCUGUGGUUGUCUGUAAUGAAUUCUAACAGGUAGAAAAAUCCAUUUAUCAACUUCUGCAUGUCAUAGAGAGUCAGCUGUAAUUAAAAGCCGCCCUUUAAUAAGCCAAACAUGUCCAAUAACUGAGGUGACAUUAAAAUCAUUUCGCCCACAGGCACUAACGUCACCGCUGUUAAUGGCUCUGUGUGUUUGUCUCCAUACAAGAAUAUAAAGUAGGAGGUUUUUCAGUCAGUGACGGUAUCUGACUGAUUCUGAAAAAGAAAAAAACAUCUGGAUUUAAAUAGCUAUGAGUCACCAGAUAUGUCAGAUAAACUGAGAGCUUCUUCUUUAAACAGGCUUAUCUGGAGUCUUUGUUUCCAAGAUUAGAUCCAGAUUAAAUUUAGACAGCAGCAGGAAGGACAAACACACGAGUUAUUUCAGACUCUGACCUAAAAAAAUCCAGAUUUUAACGGAACAAUCUGCAUCUCUCUUUCAGAUACACUCUCUAUGUUGUUUUGAAAUCCUUCACCGUGGCUCUGUGGUGCUUUCUGUACUUUCCACUGACCUCUCUCUCUCCCUCUCGCGCUCCGUCUCUGCUGUGUCACCAUCUGCGUCCCAAAAUGACUCCUCUCAUCCAAACAGCACCCACUGGGUCCUCCUCCGCCCCGCCAAGGCCCAGAACAAACAACCAUCCAUGUUGGCAGCGGUGGGCGUGUCGCAGAGCUGAGAAACAGAGUGACGGUCGCUGGAUUUACGUCACCG